UUUAAAAAAAAAAAUUUAAAAAAGAAGAACUAAAGGUGUAAAUGAAAAUUGCAUUUAGAGAGAACAUCAUAACUACAUUGAAAGCUUUUGAAUGCUAUCAGGCUAUCUCAGAGCACACCGUUUUUCACAAUUCAUUGUCAAAAGAAAUCAUGAAAAUGUAAACAGGAAGAAAAAAAAAGGUUGGCAGUGCCUGGGCUGUUUCCAGAAGCAAAUGAUUGGCCCCAAGUACAGUUACUACCUCUCCACUUAUUGAUAUACUGUAAAGGUGAAGACAUGGCGCUGUGGAUGAUAGAGCACUGUGUGUUUGCCUACGACAGUUACAUGAAGAAUAACAAGUCUGUCACAGCAGUUCAGCGUGAGUUUUGGUGCCACUUCAACAUUGACUGAAGUCAGGCUGUUCCCAUCUGUAACACAAUAUUUAUAUUGGGGGAAUGAAUGCACUUUGUACACAAGGUACACUAAUGAAUAGGAGACCAGAGGGGGCACCAAAAAUGGUACAGACCCGGGAAAAUAUGGAGCACGUCAGACAAGCUUUCAGAAAUGCAUCAAUGAAAACAGACACUACAUGAUGGAUGAUGUUUUCCACACUUGAUUUUGACAAAUGCUAAUUCAAUACGAAUAAAUUUGUUUGC